UUUUAAAGCCUAAACCUCAUCAAAAAGAGUGUCAACAAAAAUGUUAAUUCUGUAUCAUGGCUCGGCGAUUAAAGCUUUUAACGAGCUCAAAGAAAAUCUCAUUGCCCAAGUAGAAAUGGUUCAACCGGAAGAUAAUAAAGAAUGUACCUUGACCAUCGAUGCUUCGGACGUCGCAAUUGAUGCAGUUUCAUCUCAAGAAGACAAAAUUCCUGCACGACUAGUGCUAUAUUUCCUUUCUUGGUCUGGUUUUCUGGUAUCUUUUAUGAUGCGCAACGACAUGAAUUUCGCUUUGGUGGCUAUGUUUACAAAUGGCAAUUCAACUCAAACCCAACAAAACGGAUCGCCAAUAAUUUUGGGCUCUGAAGAUCAAAUAUCUAUUGUAAAAUCUGUCAUAAUAAGUUCAUUCUAUUGGUGUUACGUGUUAUCACAGGUGGCUGGAGGGGUUGCUACAGAAUUGUUUGGAACCAAGUGCGUAUUUGGAUGGUCCCAGUUAGCAACAGCUUUAUGUAGCAUUUUGAUGCCGUCAGCAGCAAAAUUUCAUUACAUAGCUGUUAUUGUGUUAAGAUCUGUCCAGGGUUUUGCUUCUGGCCUCACUUGGCCUGCCAUGUAUGCAAUAGUUGGAUAUUGGAUACCACUAACGGAACGUUCACGUUUUAUGUCAAGUUUUCAAGGUUUCAGCAUUGGUAUCGGGCUAACUUACCCGUUGUGUGGAUUUAUUUUGUCAGAAUUUGGUUGGACAUACGUUUUUUAUACAACAGGUAGCUUAGGAGUUGGAUGGUGUUUAUUAUGGUAUUUACUAGCUUUUAAUACACCCCGAGAGCAUCCUCGGAUUGCUGAAGAAGAACUAAAAUACAUAGAACUUAACGUAAGAAGAGAACCACACAAUGCAGCCAAAGUUAAAGUCCCCUGGCUGCAAAUAUUUAAGUCCUUACCUGCUUGGGCGAUUGCUAUAACAACGUUUGGAAGAAUAUUUGUACAUUAUAUUUUUAUUGUUAAUGGUCCCACUUUUAUGGGAAACGUUUUAAAGUUUAAUUUUGAAACAAAUGGCUUUCUAUCUGGAAUGCCAUUUGUUUGCUCGUAUAUUUCAUCUGUAUUUUUUUGUUAUAUGGCUGAUAAAUUUGUGUUGUACAAGGUUUUAAAUCUAACUAAUGUGAGAAAAUUAUUUACAGCACUAUCACAAAUUAUUCCAGGGCUCUUGAUAUAUUGUAUCGGGUACAUAGAUAAUGUCCACAUUUUGUUAACAGUAUGGUUUAUAGCGGUGAUAUUUAUAACUGCAUCUUAUGCAGGAGCAAUGGCUAAUAUAAUUGACUUAGCGCCGAACUAUGGACAUUCUGCUGCCGUUCUGGCAUUUUGCCAAACAAUUCAUAUGUCUGCGUCCUUUAUUUCUCCGUUGACUGCUGGAUUUAUAGUAACUCGAGAGAUGGGCAUCUCACUUGGAGGAAGCACAUAGAAGCGAAGCGCGAACAUAAGUCCCGACAACUACAUUGGCUAAUAAACUACCGCUCUCCACUAAGGUGCAGCAUUAAUUCGUAAUGGCUGAGAGCAUCAUAAAACCUUUUCUUUGCGAAAAUCUGGAAAGUCCGUGCUCCGAAGGGAAUGUAUUUUCGAUAUUGGUCCAAAAACUAACAACAUACUUUUCACCUAAACCAAAUUCGACAUUCAAGAGACACCUUUUCAGGAAAAUAUCUCCUGAAGAGGGCAAAGCUUUUGGGAAAUUCAUUUUACGACUUCGCCGGCAGAUCCGAAAAUGUAGUUUUGGUUCUACGAAAACUGAGAUGGAAGAAAUAUGUUUGAAGGACAAAAUUAUUGAUACGUGGGGUAGUCCGGAACUAAAGAAGAAACUUCUUGAGAAGGAACAUACCUUAAGCGAAAUCAUUGAAGCAUGCCAGGUCGACGAAGAAAUUAAUAAGCAAUCACAGUCAAAGCUAUCGAAGCCGUUUUCAGACAAUUGGACAUCGCGGCCAACCAGUCAAAAUGAUUGUGGAAGAUGUGGGCGGUCAGGUCAGGAGAAUAGUCCUACAUGCCCAGCGCGGCAGACUAAAUGUAAUCGAUGUUCCCGACUGGGCCAUUUUGCCCGGAAAUGCCGAACUGUUUUAAAACGUCUAUACCCACCGUCGUAUGAAGUAUGUACGGUGGGUUAAAGACGGCAACCAAGAGGGAAAGGAAAUUAAUCGAGAAAACUGUUUUAAAAUAUACAUUGACGAGGAAUAUGAAAAAUGGAUUAAAUGUAGAAUUGGUGGUGAAGACGUUGCCAUGAUAAUCGAUCCCGGAUCCCGCUUAAAUAUUAUUUCUCAGCACGAUUGGUUAAAUCUCCAGGCGAAAAAGGCGACUGUUUUCAAUGUGCAUACAGAUGCACACAACCAAUUCAAAAGAUACGCUUCGGACACAAUUUUUAAUCGCAUUUGUGUUUUUGAGGCACCAAUACCGAUCAAGUCAAGCUCGGAGUUGAUUGCAUCCUUUUUUGUAAUUGAGAAAGGACGACAAUCGCUACUUGGACGGGAAACAGCAACUAAAUUGAAUGUUCUGCGGAUGAGCUUACCAGUAAAUCACAUUGAAUUAGUAACACCGUUCCCUAAGUGGAAAACUGUUAUGUUGAACCGGUGAAACAGCCCAUGAGACGUAUUCAUGUCGCGUUGGAAGGUAAGGUCAAUGCUAAGUUGGAGGAAGCGCACAAGCUUGAUAUUAUUGAACCAGUAAAUGGUCCCAGUCCUUGGAUCUCACCGAUAGUUGUUACUUUUAAAGAAAAUGGGGACAUUCGACUGCGUUUGGAUAUGAUGCAGGCCAACCGAGCGAUUCUUAGAGAAAAUUACCCUUUGCCUACGUUUGAGUCUUUUAUGACUAAGUUGAGAAACGCUAAAUUAUUUAUUAUGAAUCUCAAAGACACGUACCAUCAAUUGGAGCUAGAGGAAUUAAGUCGACAGAUCACAACUUUCAUUACACCCCAAGAGUUGUUCAGAUAUAAACGGCUGAUUUUUGGCAUAAAUGCGGCUCCUGAAAUAUUUCAGCGACGACUUGAAGAACUCCUUGCAUCGUGCAACAAUGUGAUGAAUUAUAUCGACGACAUUAUUAUUUUUGGAAGCAACGAAGAAGAGCAUGAUGAAUCUGUUAAAAAGGUUUGUGAUGUUUUCAAAGAAAAUAAACAAUGAAAAGUGCAUUUGGAAGACGAACAGAAUCAAGUUUCUGGGACAUGUGUUGACUGAUAAAGGAAUUGAAGUAGAUCCAGAGAAAAUAACAGCUAUUAAUUCUUUCCGUGCUCCCAAGACUAAGGAAGAAAUGCGUAGUUUCCUCGGAUUGGUCACAUACGUUGGUAAAUUCAUUCCCGACCUUGCUGACCUAACUGAACCGUUACGUGAGUUGUUAAAGACGGAACAGAAAUUCAACUGGAGACAAAUUGAAGAAAAUGGAUUCCAAAAGCUAAAGUCAGCAUUAUAUAAGAUCAUGAGCCUCUCAUGCUAGCCCUGUAGCUUUGGGCGCAGUAUUGUUACAAUUUAAAGAUGAUCUCAAAACAAAUAUUAUCGCUUUUGCCAGUCGAAGCUUAACUGAUGUGGUUAAAUGUUACUCACAAACAGGAAAGCAAAGUUUGGCUUUAGUCUGGGCAGUAGAGAAAUACUAUUUUUAUUUAAUAGGACUCGAGUUUGAACUAGUGACUGAUCAUAAGCCACUAGAAGCGAUUUUUAAGCCUACGUCAAAACCUCCGGAGCGUAUCGCAAGAUGACUUCUUCGUCUUCAAGCGCACAAGUUUAAAAUCAUCUAUAAGUCCGGCAAGGAAAAUAUAGCUGACAGUUUAUUCUGGUUGUGUGAGACCUUCCCCUUGUUACGACCACAAGGGCGAGCACAGCAUACUGCGAUAUAUCAAGAAUACUGCACCAACAUCAAUAGCUAUAUCUGAUAUCGCCGAAAAAAGUGCUCAGGACGAGGAAAUUAUCGACGCAAUGAUGUGCCUUCAACAGGGUUCUUGGAACUCCGCACUUUCAAAUAAACUGUACCCUUUCCGACAUGAGUUGUCAACUAUUGGUACAAUUAUGCUAAGAGGAUUUCGUAUAGUCAUUCCGUCAACCCUAAAACGAUCGGUGUUAAUACUGGCACACAAAGGCCACCCUGGCGAAUCGACAAUGAAGCAGAUUGUCAGGGAUACCGAAAAAUUUGUCAAGGACUGUCGAGAUUGUAUUUUAAUAUCCCAGACGUCACACCCACCUCCAAUGAAGAGAACCGAGUUUCCGAACGGGCCGUGGCUUUCAGUUGCUACAGACCUACUAGGGCCACUUCCGAAUAACGAAUACAUCUUAGUGUUAAUAGAUUAUUACUCGAGAUGUAUGGAGUUUAAGUUUUUGCGCUUAAUCACAUCUGAAUCGUUAAUUGAAGCGUGUAAGGAAAUUUUUAGCAGGUUAGGAUACCCAAGGCAGUUGCGGACUGAUAAUGGUCGUCAGUAUGUUAGUGGUGAGUUUCGAGUUGAGUUGAGUUUUGAGUUUCGCUUAUGAGAAAUGUUAGUCAUCUUAAAAAGAUUCCCAUAGAGACGGAAUCACCUGAUGAUACCAACAUGGAGCCCCUUCAAAAUCCUGGCUUAGGUCAAGUUUAGGAUUCAUUAACCCAAUCCAAGCAGCAAGACCCUGAGGAGAAGGACCAACAUAACCAGGAUGGAUUGAAACUGAAGCUGGUGAGGAAGGAAGGGAUGUGGGAACCGGCACCAAGGAACUAAGCCAGCGAUGACUGUUGUAGGAGAACGAGGCUAUCUCCCUUCCUAGACCUUGGAUCACUGUUCUCAACAUAAUUAGUUUAGUUUGAUUUUGGCACUCGCCGCGGAAGGAGAGUGAAAAUAAAGAACAUUUAUAAAAGACAA